GCCCGGCCAGCAUCGCGCACGACGCUGGGGGUGGGGGCGCGGCCUGGUCCUGGGGACGCUGGCACCCGGCAGGGACCCUGUCCCCAGACCAGAGCUUUCCUACUUCUCGUGGCCGAAGGACCUUCGUCAUGGGGCCUCGUGUCCAAGACCUGUGCUGACACUCGAAGUGACCAGAGUGGGGACCCCACCUGCUCAGGCCGAUGCUUUCACUCCCCUGAGCAGAAGUCUGUGUGUGUGUGUGUGUGUGUGUGUGUGUGUGUGUGUGUCUGUGUGUGAUGUGUGUGUGUGUGUGUGUGUGUGGCCAUGGGGACUCCCUCCGGCCUCCAGGAGCAGCCGUGUUUAGAAAUCCUGAGGUGCUGUGGACGCUUGUGACCCUAGACUGUGGGCAGUGAGUGCCUCCACACUGUCUCCCGAGUUACUCAAAGCAAAACCUUCCCCUCUUCCCCCUCCUCCUCCUCCUCCCUCUCCUCUCCCUCCUCCCCAUCCGCCUCCUCCCCCUCCUCCUCUCCCUCCUCCCCCUCCUCCCCCUCCUCCCCCCUCUUUCCCUUCCUCCCCCUCCUUCUCCCCUCUUUCCCUUCCUCCCCCUCCUUCUCCCCCUCUUCCCCCUCCUCCCCAUCCCCCUUCCCCUCCUCCUCCCCCUCCUUCUCCCCCUCUUCCCCCUCCUCCCCCUCCUCCCCCUCCUUCCCCUCCUUCCCCAUCUUUCCCCCUCCUCCCUCUCCUCUCCCUCCUCCCCCUCCUCCCCAUCCCCCUUCCCUUCCUCAUCCUCCCCCUCCUCCCCCUCCUCCCUCUUCCUGUUCCUCCCCUCCCUCCCCUCCUUCCCCUUCCCCUCCUCCUCUCCCUCCUCCCCCUCCUUCCCCUCCUUCCCCUCCUCCCCCCUCUUCCCCCUCCUCCUCCUCCCCCUCCACUCCUUCUCCCUCCUUCCCCUCCUUCCCCAUCUUUCCCCCUCCUCCUCCUCCUCCCCCCUCUUUCCCCCUCCUCCCCAUCCCCCUUCCCUUCCUCAUCCUCCCCCUCCUCCCCCCUCUUCCCCCUCCUCCCCCUCCUCCUCCCUCCCCUCCUCCCC
rnacentral:lncRNA from 1 species